rnacentral:lncRNA from 1 species
AAUCAAAGGAACACAACUUAUAUGAUGAUAUCUUGAUGAAGCUAUGAAUCAUCGAAGUCGGGUAAGGUCACGUGAGGUAAGGCAGGUAUAUUAAGAUGAGGCAAUUCAGUAGCUUCAAUCUGAUGUUGUAUUGCUGAAGUUGUCUUUCUUUUCAGAAUUGUUGCUAGGGAUUUGAAUGGAUUGCUCAACAACCCAUCUCUGAGUUUCAAAAUGAAAGACACUUCAGAGAUUUGCCAAGCAACAGUGAGGAUAAUCAUUGCUGAAACAAGGCAGUGAGUUAUGAAAUUUUGCUUCUUCACUUCUU